UCCUCUUCUUCAAAAUAGAGCCAGCUCAAUCCCAUCUUCUCCGUAUCCUCUUCCUCCUUAAAUCCUUAUCCCACGUCCACUAUUUUCCCAACCUUAUGCCCUCCUUCCAGAUCAUGUCCACUGUCCAUGCGUAUCCAGGAUCAUCCUCCUUUCUUCGGAUUAACUACAUCCUCCAAAUCCUUCCCAGCAUUUGGAUUAACUUCAUCGUCCUUCUCUUCCAGCUUGAUCCUAUGGAAUUCCCCAACGUCUCAACCAUUUUUCUAAGCUUAUCAUCUCAUCCGUUCCCUGUUAUUAGCCGAGAUCCCAACAUCCCAGCUUGCAUCCUUAUCCCGUUUGCAAUUAGUCACUCCAAUCCCAGCAAAUCCAAGCUUAUUCUCUGCUUUAGAACAACGUCUCAGAUCCCAUCUUCUCCGUGAUCUUCUUCUCUUGGAUAAGCUCCAAUCCGCCAUUCAGUCGUAUCCUUCUUCCUCCUCAUCUCCUCCGUGUCCGUCCUAGCUCACCAUGUUCGUGAUCCAUCCUUAUCCCGUAUCUAGCUUAAUUCCCAUGCUUCCUGCAUCCAGCUCA
rnacentral:lncRNA from 1 species